GUGAAGAGGGCUGUGUGGGAGGCAGAUUUGGCCUGCAUAAUUACUUUCAAAGAAAGAAGUGGGUUGCUGAGAAGGAGAGUUUGUUUGUGACCUUAUCGCUGAGCAGAAAGGUCCACGCUCAGGAGUCCUUCACCACUUCUGCUAACAGGGUGGCGAGGGUGACUCCCUAGUAUCGUCACAUCUGGGCUUUUCAGGGAGGUGAAGGGUGUUUUGCAGAAUCCUUUUAAAGAUGCCCCUUUUCCGUGUAGUGACCGCUGAUAUCUUGCCGCAGUGGGCAGAGGAAGCAGAUGCUUAGUGGCCCCUGUGGGCCAGGACACGAAAAGCUGUUUGAGGGAGUAAUUCAGCUUUUUACUACUUUGGCUUUUAACCUCAGAAAUGGCACUUACAUAGUUGGUGAGGGGAGAACUUGGUUGGCUCCUGUAUUUACUGCAUGGCCUAACCCCGAGGUCUGUUUGUUCAGUUAGUGUUUGGAGAUCCACUUGGUGGAUGGCGGGAAGUGGUCACUGUCUAUGAUGUUUUGCUUACCCUGUAAUCUGGCCCUUGCUGUCUAAGAAAGAGAUGAUCCAACUCCACUGCCUAACAUUGUUCACCCCAAGAGGCCUUCUUCACCCCAUUGUUCAUGAAAGCUUUUGUCGAAACUUAGCGAAUCUCCCUUUCUUAGUGAUCCUGUGAUCUGGCAGCAUUUUUCACAAGUUACAGUUAUUCAAAAGUAGCUUCUGGAAGGAAAGUUGAGAAGACCACCUGGCCUUCCCUCCCAGGCAGAUGUGUCACUCAUCCUGUGGUUUAUUCUCAGCUACAUGGCCGAGUUUGUGUCACAGAUGCCUGCAAUAAUCAGCUUAGGAAAAGGUGGUUUUGGCCCAAAGUUUUUGAGGUUUCUCUGCAUGCAGAGUCCAGGCACGGGCUGCUUUUGGUGCUGUGACUGAGAGGCAGACAUCCUUUGGAGCAAAACCACUCACCUUUUGGGCAUAAAGCAAAAGUGAUAACUUAAUCUGGGCAUCUUAAAGGGGCAUCUUUAAAAGGAUUCUGGAACAGAGGUUCCCUUGGAGAGCAUGCCCCAGUGUCCUUAUAACCUGCACAGCAAAACUUAGCAGCUUAGAGGUAGGGGCUUCUCCAGACUUUCCUUGCUGAGGGCAUAAAUAAUAGCCCUCCUUUUCUCAGCCCAGAGGAAGUGACAGAAUAUGGCAUGCUGGCCCAAGAGGCCCUAGACCAUUUCCUUUGCCCGGGAGAGAGGGAUCCCGGUUAGAAUCUCGGGAUGUGCAUGGUCCCACAGCGUGUCCCUCCUUGCUGUUCCUGCUGUGCAAGACCGCACACCUGCACCCCCCGCAGAGGAGUCGGCCAUUUGAAGCAAAGAGGCUGCCCGUCUCCUCAGCACUGGCUUUGGAUAAAACCUUUUUUCUUCUCUUCAAAAUACAUGGCCUCCAAGAAUUGACCAGCAGUGAGCAAACAAACCUGAGCCUUUGGACUUAGGUCUGGUAAUAACCUGAAGUCCUCCCACCAAGCCUCCCCUCCUGAGGUUUCCUCCCCCCUCCCAAGAGUGCCACACCUUCAACACACGGGCCUUUGGGGAAUCCGUCAGAUCUAAACAACAGUCAGUGUCUUUCAGACCAUUCGGCCAGUCACUGCAGUGAGGACCCCAAACUAGACAUUUCUGCCUCAAUACUUCGCACCUCAACUGUGACCUGUUUUGUGUGAGCGUUAAUGAUACAGAGAGUUUCGAAAGAACUCAGAGGCAGGGUGGUAGGUGGCUUGCCCAGCAUUGUGCAAGAACGUGUUGCCGACGGUGGUUUUGAGUACUGAGGGUUAAAUGCGUGUGUGCAAGGCCAGUGCCCUGCCACUGAGCUGUGCCCAACCUUGCCUAGCUGCCUUUAUUAUAGACUGUGCUUCAACUUUGAGAUAAAACGUUUUUUUUUCUUCUAGAAACUGAGUGUAAGUGUUGCCCUGUCACGAGGCGUUCCCUGUGUAGAGCCAGCGCCUGUUUGCAGUACUGGGAUGAACCCAGGGUCUGCACACUGAAAGACACCCCAGCCCUUUUCUAUGUUUCACUUUGAGACCGGGGCUCGUUAAAUUACCCAGGCUGGGCUCAAACAUGGUCUUCCGGCCUCACUGUCCCUGAGUGCUGGAAUUACAGACACGCAUAUGCCCCUGUGCCUGGUUCAGGGGUGGUUUUAAAAAUUUAGUUUCUGGGAUUUCAUUUUAUUUAGCAUUCAACUUACAGCUUGUUUAGCUAAGAAUAAUGUACUUUUCUGUGACUUCCAAGCCCCCUAUUAAAAACAUGUACAUAUUUAGAGUAGUCUUUCCUUUGUAUCAGUCCUCUCUUCUGUUAAGCUUUAAAAUUGACCUUCACUAUAAAAUAUGAAAUUUCUUGGCAAACUUUCCAAAUGAGAUCCACUCUGUGGUGCUGGAGAAUCAAGGGGAAGCAUUGGCUCAUGGAGGGAAGUUAACCCUAGAACUGACCCCACCUCGGUCUCUUCUGCCGCCCUAUGUAUCAGCAGCACGGGACUGCAGUUAGCAAACUGGUGGGCUUUGGUACUUUCUUCUUCUCAGCUCUUUAGGUAAAUUGUGGUCACUGCUGGGAAGAGUUGCCUGAGCCGUGAUUUACUUUAGAACUGGGGUAGGAAUACCUGCAUUCUAAAGUGAAAUCUGGGUAUAGUUUUGGUGCUGCGAUUCAUUGUGUGGUGUUUGGUCUAUGCACAACCCAGGCCCUGAGCACUUUGCUUCACUGGAUUCAAGCAUGGCUGAAUUUCAGUUAUUCCUUUCCUCCUUCCACUCCCUUUCCCCCUCCGCUCCAUCCCCUCCCUCCUUCCUCCCUUCCCUCUAUCUCUGCAUGGUAAGCAUGCACUGUGUUACUGAGCUAUGCUCCCAGCCCCUCCACUUUCCACCUGUAGUACAAAUAAAUCCAGCAGUUGGGGUGCAGUGUUGGAGUUGUGCAGUUGUAUGACUCCAAGCCCUGACCAAACUUUUCCCUAAUUAGUGAUUACCUUCCUUUCUGGUUGCUAGGAGAAAGUACCUAACACUUUGUUAAAGAAGGCUUUGCUUCUGACACGGUUGCUAGACGUUUCAGUCCACAGUCAGCUGGCUCCAAGGCGGGACGGAAUGGUAGAGGCAUGGCAGAAACAGGUCAUGGCAGGGUGGGCAGAAGGCAGCAAGCACCAAGCAGCAGCUGGCACAAGUCCUGCUUCCUUUCUGCUCCUUCUAUUCCACCCAGGCUACAAGGCCAUUUAUGAUUGGUGCCACUCACACCCAAGGUGGGGCUCCCAUUAUCCAUCCAUACCCUUAACCCAUACACCCUAAGUGACUUCUACAUGUAGUGAUUUUUUGGGGGGUGUCUUUUGGAGACAAGGUUUUGGUAUCGCUGUGCAGUUCAGGCUGUCUUGGAACUUACUUUGUAGCCUAGACUGACCUUCAGUUCCCAGCGAUCUUCCUGCCUAAGCCUCCAAGUGGGCCACCACACCCAGCUAAAUGUGCUAACUCUUGAGAAUGCUAAUUUUUAAAAAUUCACAGAUAUUGACUCUGAUAACAUCUUCCAAGUAUUUUUAGAAAGGCCAAUGCUUGGUUUUUAUUCACAUGGAGAGGCAUGUGGUGGUUUACCUAGGUCUGCUGCACACUGUGGUGUCUCUGCCCCUGGGUUUGGCAAUUCAGGGAGAAAGCAGAUUUCCACCCCUGCCCAUGUUGGACAGCACUGUCAGCCAGGCUGCCCUUUGGAAUCCCGAAGAGAGCUUUAGAAAGCACCCAUGUCUGCACCUGACUCCACAGGAUCUUAUGUAACUGGUCCAGGGAGAGCCUGGGUACUACCAUUGUGCCAGUGCUUCUGGAUGGUUGUGCCAUGCACCAGGCUGCAGAAGCACCGGUGCAAGGUGAACCUGAACAAACAGCUGCUGCUGGCAGAGAGCCUGGCGUGUGCGCCCUGAACGAGCCAUGCCUGCUGUUUCCCGUCCUGCGGACGCAGGAGCAGCUCUCACCUUUGCCCUUCGCCCCUGCUGGAAGGGUGUGUCCCAAUUCGAAGUAGAUGAGAGUUACAUUAGCGAGCAAAGCCAUGGCCUUAGAGGUUCGGCAGGCUUGUUUUUCUCUCAGCAGCCCCUCACUUGUUAGGUACCGGAGACCCAGAUGUUCCUCUGGGGCCUGAGAGGACAGUGUCCUGUGGGCCUGCCCGUUUCCAGGCAGCUGCCUGCCCCUGGGCAGCCGUAGGAGGAGAACCAGGGCUCCCACAGUCCCCGUGCUGGUGCGUACUGCGAGAGGAGCGGUUCACUUCCAGAAAGCCAUCUGCAGCCAUUCAGAAAGAAAUGAAUUGAGUUGAAGAUUCUACAGUUCUAAGGUGCAAAGUGAAUGCGAACAGGAGGUUUUCAUUUCCAUAGAUUCAGCAGGAAUCAGAAAGGACUGGUGAAGCUGAGCAUGGUGGCACUUGCCUGUAAUCCCAGCACUCAGGAGGCCGAGGCAGCAGGAUCCCAACAAAUGCAGGGUCAGCCCAGUGAGAGCCUGACUCAGAAGAAACGAGAGAAAGCAGGAGAGAAAGUGUGGGAGCAGCUUUAAUACGGUGUGAAGGAACAGCACAGUGUGAUGGUGUGAAGGAAAGGUCGCAACCCCAGACCUGUGUUUUUGUUUUGACGGUGUUCUGGAGCGUAGUCCAGGCUGGCUUUCACCUUGCUGAGGAAUCCAGGUCUAACUCUGCUGCACCAGCCUGGUCUCCUGAGGUGUACCUUUGGGGUUUCUGUUUAUUUGUUUGGAAAGAUGACAUUGGAGAACCUUUUUCUUCUGUUCCAGCUGUCGGAGCAAAAAAAUCUGUUUACACUCUUUACAUCGCACUAAAAUGCAAGAAAGGGUGAUAGUGUGUGUGUGUUUUAUUUAUUUUAAUGACCUAAACCCAUAAGAAUGAGGAGACCAGGAAAGGAGACUUUAGCAAAUGAACCAAUCACUAAUACAGAACUUAACAGACCAAACAAGAUGGGCUGAUAACGCGGCACUGGGGAAGCCACCCUGGCCCAACUUACCCUCAUCCCCUCAGAGCUCGGAGCUGCCAGUGUCUAGUGCAUUCAGAAGUAGGGAUAGAGUGGCAGCUGCGGUCAGGGUAGGCUGAAAGCUGGUUAAAAAGCAGCCAGAUGCCCAGAGCCCUUUCCCCGUCCUGGCAAAGGGCCAGGAGGGAACCUGAUAACCUCCAGAGAUGGCAGCACAGAGAAGUCCCUCAACUUGGGGACACUUGGCAUGUCUGACUUUGAUGUUUGAAAAAUGGGGAUCACAGGGGCUGGGGACUUAGCUCAGCGGCAUAAGCGCCUGCCUUGCAAGCAGGCAGUCGUGAGUUUGAUCCCCGGUACCAAUAAAAAGGAAAAAGACAAAAAAAAAAAAAAAGAAAGAAAAAUGGGGAUUACUUAAUACCCUACCCCUUGUCUUCCUGAUUAGUUCCAGGAUCCCCAUAGCCAGGGCCAUGCUGUCCUGGCGGGCGAUUAGACUGGAUUCCUGCAGAGAAUCUGGUCAGACCCAAAGGAAAGGUCCGAAGGGAACACCUCUCGUGGUGGGCGGGCCAGACCCCCCUGUGAUGGACACUUGGUCCAGGCCUUUCCAGUUGGCUGUCCUGUGAAGUGUUAGCAAAUGGGUCCAUGCUAGAGUCAGGAGCAAACAGGAAAAGGCAGAUCACAGAAGAGAGGACCUGCCGGGAAGUCGAUGUCCCCCUCCCCAGACAUUCGGAGGACAGGACUUUCCAAGCUUUCCAGCACAGUGGGUGGAAGCAGACACAUGGGCAUGAAAUCUCCCAAACAAAGAGAAAGUUCUUCACUCAUUGAAAAGGACUUACUGGGCCAGGGAUACAGCUCACUGGCACAGCGCCUGCCUGGCAAGCACAAGGCCGUGAGUUCGAUUCCCAGUACCAAAAGAGAAAGAAAGAAAUCACUGGCCACCUGCCAAGAUCAGGCUGGGAUGAAUUCAGGCUUAGUCAUCUCAGCACAGUGCAUAGGGAAAGUACUUCCUGCCUGGAAUUCUGUAAACUCCACCAUGCUGCAAA